CUCAGCCGUACCGCAUGCGAAGAGGCCCGCGUCCCCGGUUCGGGGGCGCGGGCCUCUUCGUGUGGCCUGGAGUGCGUCCUAG
rnacentral:pre_miRNA from 1 species